GGGAGAGAGAAAUCAGGAUUUCAUGCAAAGUUCACUGUAAAUGAUGAAUCAUCAACAAGCUUUAGAUUCAACAUUUAGAUUGCUUUUUUUCCUUUUUUCGGUCUUUCGUUCUUCCAAAUGUCUUCGCUCUGGUAGCUUAUUUGAAAUUUUAUAAAUUAGUCUUCCAGAGAAUGUGCUUCUGGAUAUCUAGUGUUAGUGUUACCAUUCCUGAAUGCUGAUGUGAUUUUUGUUCCAUCUGUGCAGCAAUAACCAUUUUACAGAGGAGAAGGGAGGUCAGCAGCCGCUGUUGCAUCUUGAACCGUGGGUUGUUUUCUCUUUGAGUGCAGGUUGCCUGCAACCAUUGCAGAAGCACUGAAAAACUUUUCCAGUGAUUUUAAGGAAUUGGUGAAGUUUAGAUGUGCUACUGCGAAGAUAAAAGCAGAUUCUUCAGAGUCAGGAGUGAGAUUAAAUUGACCAGAUGAACAAAGACUACUACUACUGCUAUGGUAUCAAACAUAGGGACAGUUACCUAGCUCAAGAUGGGAGAGAUUCUUUAGGGUAUUUCAUAGAUACUCUUUAGAAAGAUCAAGGGAUCUAUUACAGCUCUUCAUUUUGUCAUUUAUGUAUACAAGCACUUCUGAGAAAAGUAAUUCAGGAACGACACAAUUUUAAGAACUGCAUCUAAUCAUUGUGCUGAAAUUGGAAUGAAUGAUGAUCUUUUCUUGAGAGCGUGGGAGGAAUGAAAUCAAAUGUUGCUAAUUAAUGCUGAAUCAGAUUAACACCAGCAGGUAAAUUGAUACCUAUAAAAAUGCAGCUGCGGCCAAUGAGGAGGAUUGGAGAACAAGAAGAACGAGCAGUCCAAGACACUCCCCUAAAAAUCUCAAAAGCAUUUCAGUGAUGUGUAACACGCCUGGCAAAAUAUGUGGUGCAGGAGAUCAAACAGGCUGUUUUCCAGCCAGCAACCAGUUGCCAUCUCAGCAGUCUUUUCGACUGCUGCUUCGCACUCCUGUGACCUGUGGUUUGAAGUGCAGACUGCUGUCUGCACACAUUUGCUACGUUGUUGUGUGCAAGCAAGUCAUGGCUAGGCAUAUUCCAACCCUAAUUUAACCUUGAAUUUAGAGGUAGAGAAGUAAAAAUAAGAAAGAGCCUGUAUUAUUGCUCUUUGUUGCAGUGUGUGAAAGCAUAGAAAGCAAAUAGAUUCACAGAGACUGGCUGAGAACAAUGAAACUCACUCUGCCUGGUAAGUUAUAUGAAGAUUAGUCAUUCUUAGCACGUGAGUUAAUGGUGCUAUUAACAGAAGAGAUUAUUAUUUAGAUUAAUGUACUGCUUCCUUUUCUUUCCUGUUUUAAUAAACAUUGUACACCAUCUUUGAACAUACAGAAGAAAGACUAAUCUAAUGUGGCAUCUUUGUCAUAUUAUAGUCAGAUGAUAUCAUAGUCUCUUCUCAUCACAAUCAUCUCUUGGUACUUUGGUUUGCUUUGUGCAUAAUUAAUUACCUUUGCAUUGAAAUGAGAAGUGUUAACAGCAUUAGAUGCUGUAUGAACAGCAAAGACAUGUCUAUGGUUAGUUAAGGGAGGGGGAGAUUAUUUUUAAUCUUUCUGUUAAUUUUUAUAAUGACUGGAAGAACAGAUUUUGAUAAAUGUGUGCGGAUCUAAAAGAGAAAUUAAGAUCAGCCUUGAGCAUAGAAGCUUCAGGCUUACAUAUGUGUGAGAGGCGUCUUGGCUCUCAGGUUUUCAGUAUGCAUGGAGACUAAAUUUAAAUAGCUUAGAGAUGAAGACACCCAUCCACUUGCAGAUGUCUGCACCGACAUAUGACAAACUGAAGAUAUUAUCUCCAGGAGGCCUACAAAGACUUGCUGCUUACAAGGAGAGAUGGAUAAGCAAAGUGAAUCUUUUCGGUGGCUCAAAAAAAAUCUCUUUCAUGAUCUUUUCUGUGUGACUUUGUUCUGAUGUGGCUGCCAGUGAUCUCUGUAAUGUGACUCUGACUCUGAGAGAAAUACCUUAUUUAUGUUUGUAGUUUAUUCAUUUGUGUUUAUUAACACUGAAAUGGUAGCAAAGGUGAAAAGAUGUCAGUUUUCUCUAAGUUGUAGCUACUUCACUGGAAAAUGCUGAAUGGAGACGAAGAAAUAAAAUCUCAGAAGUAAUAAAGAACAGCUU